GAUGAACGCUGACAGAAUGCUUGACACAUGCAAGUCUACUUGAAUUUGGGUUUUUUAACUUAGAUUUGGGUGGCGGACGGGUGAGUAACGCGUAAAGAACUUGCCUCACAGUUAGGGACAACAUUUGGAAACGAAUGCUAAUACCUGAUAUUAUGAAUAUAUGGCAUCAUAUAAUUAUGAAAGCUAUAAGCGCUGUGAGAGAGCUUUGCGUCCCAUUAGCUAGUUGGAGAGGUAACGGCUCACCAAGGCGAUGAUGGGUAGCCGGCCUGAGAGGGUGAACGGCCACAAGGGGACUGAGACACGGCCCUUACUCCUACGGGAGGCAGCAGUGGGGAAUAUUGGACAAUGGACCAAGAGUCUGAUCCAGCAAUUCUGUGUGCACGAUGACGUUUUUCGGAAUGUAAAGUGCUUUCAGUUGGGAAGAAAAAAAUGACGGUACCAACAGAAGAAGUGACGGCUAAAUACGUG
rnacentral:rRNA from 1 species